rnacentral:rRNA from 1 species
AGUCGAACGGCAGCACGGACUUCGGUCUGGUGGCGAGUGGCGAACGGGUAAAUAAUGUCGGAACGUGCCUAGUAGCGGGGGAUAACUACGCGGCGUAGCCUAAUACCGCAUACGCCCUUCGGGGAAAGCGGGGACCUUCGGGCCUCGCACUAUUGAAGCGACGAUAUCAGUUGGCUGAUUUGGUGGUGACAACGGCACCGCAAAGGCAUGAUCCGUAGCUGGUUUUGAGAGGACGACCAGCCACACUGGGACUGAGACACGGCCCAGACUCCCACACGAAGGAGGCAGCAGUGGGGAAUUUUGGACAAUGGAAACCUGAUCCAGCCAUCCCGCGUGUGCGAUGAAGAACGUGGGAUUAAAGCCACUUGGCGGGAAAAGCUUGGCACGGGAUAAUACCCCGUGCAACUGACGAAACACCUGCCGAAUAAGCACCGGCUAACCGAUGCCAGCAGCCGCGGUAAUACGUGGUGCAAGCGUUAAUCGGAAUUACUGGGCGUAAAGCGUGCGCAGGCGGUUCGGAAAAAGAAAGAUGUGAAAUCCCAGAGCUUAACUUUGGAACUGCAUUUUUAACUACCGAGCUAGAGUGUGUCAGAGGGAGGUGGAAUUCCACGUGUAGCAGUGAAAUGCGUAGAUAUGCGGAAGGUACAGAAUAACAAGCAGCCUCCUGGGAUAACACUGACGCUCAUGCACGAAAGCGUGGGAGCAAACGAAGUUAGAUACCCUGGUAGUCCACGCCCUAAACGUGUCAACUAGCUGUUGGGGCCUUCAGGCAUGGUAUGCCAACUAACGCGUGAAGUUGACCGCCUGGGAGAUGGUCGCAAAUUCAAACUCAAAGGAAUUGACGGGGACCCGCACAAGCGGUGGAUAAAUCAUGGAUUGAAUUCGAUGCAACGCGAAAAACGCAUCUACAUAAUAUGUCUGGAAUCCCGAAGAGAUUUGGGGUGCUCGCAAGAGAACCGGAACACAGGUGCUGCAUGGCUGUCGUCAGCUCGUGUCGUGAGAUGUUGGGUUAAGUCCCGCAACGAGCGCAACCUGGCAAUCAUUGGUUGCUACGAAGGCACUCCAGGCCAGUUUCGACAAACCGGAGGAAGGUGGGGAUGACGUCAAGUCCUCAUGGCCCAUAUGGGUAGGGCUUCACGCACGUCAUACAAUGGUCAGGACAGGAGGUCAACCAACCCGCGAGGGAGCCAAUCCCCGAAACCCGAUCGUAGUCCGGAUCGCAGCCUGCAACUCGACUGCGUGAAGUCGGAAUCGCUGGUAAUCGCGGAUCAGCAUGUCGCGGUGAAUACGUUCCCGGGUCUUGUACACACCGCCCGUCACACCAUGGGAGUGGGUUUUUACCAAGUAGUUAACCCUCAACGCCGUAAGGAGGGCGAUUACCACGGUAGGAUUCAUGACUGGGGGUGAAGUCGUAACAAGGUAG